UGGGGAAUAUUGCACAAUGGGCGGAAGCCUGAUGCAGCGACGCCGCGUGAGGGAUGACGGCCUUCGGGUUGUAAACCUCUUUCAGUAGGGACGAAGCGUAAGUGACGGUACCUGCAGAAGAAGCACCGGCUAACUACGUGCCAGCAGCCGCGGUAAUACGUAGGGUGCGAGCGUUGUCCGGAAUUACUGGGCGUAAAGAGCUCGUAGGCGGUUUGUCACGUCGUCUGUGAAAUCCUAGGGCUUAACCCUGGACGUGCAGGCGAUACGGGCUGACUUGAGUACUACAGGGGAGACUGGAAUUUCUGGUGUAGCGGUGGAAUGCGCAGAUAUCAGGAAGAACACCGAUGGCGAAGGCAGGUCUCUGGGUAGUAACUGACGCUGAGGAGCGAAAGCAUGGGUAGCGAACAGG
rnacentral:rRNA from 1 species